UGGAAGGAAGCAACCCUCAAGGGUUUCGAGCUG
rnacentral:SRP_RNA from 14 species